rnacentral:siRNA from 1 species
AGAUGACACUUCUCGAACAGAUGCUGUA